GAAUUAAUGUUAUUAGAAACUUAAUAGAAAUAGAUUGUAAUUUCAUAGUUUUUAUUUUUUAUUUGGGCCGACCCGAGUCCAGGUUAUUGGUUGUGUGGGCUAAAAGCUGUUUCUUCGGACUCCGGUGAGCUUCAAGGAAGAAACAAUGGCAAAGCAUUCGCCGGCGACUCCAUCGUUGACGUGAACUGUGCUUAUGGUAUAGUAAAUGAAAGAGUAGUCUUACUGUAAAGUCCACGGAUAUUCAUGCCUUUUUAUUGAAGUCACUUAGAACCAGUCCUUGUUCUCGAGAUUAUGGAGACUACUUCAUCACAAGCUUACGCUAGUUCUUGAUAGAAAAAAAAAAAGAGGAAACCUUCUCUACAAGCGUGUAAAGGAUAUAAUAUUAUACUUCCUACAGAAGUCUCAUCAACAUUGAAGUUUGGUAACAGCUGCAUGCUACUUUUUUCAUCAUAUAAUGCCGCAAAACUAACUUGUUCAUAUGUGUAGUUCUGUCAUCACAUUGGGUUGAUGAUAUCAACUGUAAUGGCUUUUAGGAUCUACUGUUAUUGUUAGUAUUGUUUUCUCUCCAAUGAAGGAGCUUAAUGUAGUUGUUUGGAUUCCUCUUUGUGGAUUGAGGAUGAGGAUGCGGACUCACUAAAAUUCCUUGACAAGGGAAACUUCAAGUCAAGACACACACCAUCGCGAUGCUACAUCGUGAUUCCUUUUGCUGAAGGAUCAAGAGUUGAAGUGAUACAAAAGGAAUUCUUCUUUUUCUGUAGAUAUCUCAUAGUGGAAUGAACAACACUUUUUCGAAGGUUCUUAUUGGGGUUGAUAUGCACACAGUGUUGAUAUCUCCAGUAAGCAGCUGAUAGAAUUUGGAUAACUUGAGCCACCCCUGAAUUCAGUCACCAUGGAUGAUGGAUACAAGCUCAUGAUGCAUCAUGUUCUAUUUAUCUUUUUUGGUAGGUAAUUGAGUAUCCUUAUGCACGAAGAUAAUCAAUUUGCUAGUUGUGUUCAAACUCUAUUAUGGUUUUCUUUUACCGCAUUCUCUAUAGGACUCUCUUAUCUUAUCCUUCUCUGAGCUCACUUCUGAAAUUUCUUCGUGGUGGCUCCCUUACAUGUCUCUUUUUAGAGGGAACCUCAAUUUCUAACCCUUACAAGCCUUCUGUAUUCUGAUUCCAAAUUGCCUUGUAUCUACAGUCUUAUUUCUUGGACCAAAGAUGUAAGCCUAGAUAUUGGUGGCUCUUCAUAUUAUUGCUUCUUUUUGUCUGAUAAA